CCUGCGGGCGGCUGCAGUGGGGAAUAUUGGACAAUGGGGGCAACCCUGAUCCAGCCAUGCCGCGUGUGUGAAGAAGGCCCUCGGGUUGUAAAGCACUUUCAGUGAGGAAGAACGCCUGGUGGUUAAUACCCAUCAGGAAAGACAUCACUCACAGAAGAAGCACCGGCUAACUCCGUGCCAGCAGCCGCGGUAAUACGGAGGGUGCGAGCGUUAAUCGGAAUUACUGGGCGUAAAGCGCGCGUAGGUGGCUUGAUAAGCCGGUUGUGAAAGCCCCGGGCUCAACCUGGGAACGGCAUCCGGAACUGUCAAGCUAGAGUGCAGGAGAGGAAGGUAGAAUUCCCGGUGUAGCGGUGAAAUGCGUAGAGAUCGGGAGGAAUACCAGUGGCGAAGGCGGCCUUCUGGACUGACACUGACACUGAGGUGCGAAAGCGUGGGUAGCAAACAGGAUUAGAUACCCGUGUAGUC
rnacentral:rRNA from 1 species